rnacentral:rRNA from 1 species
AUUGAACGCUGGCGGCAUGCUUUACACAUGCAAGUCGAACGGUAACAGGGAGCUUGCUCCGCUGACGAGUGGCGAACGGGUGAGUAAUGCGUCGGAACGUGCCGAGUAGUGGGGGAUAACGCAGCGAAAGUUGUGCUAAUACCGCAUACGUACUGAGGUAGAAAGUGGGGGACCUUCGGGCCUCACGCUAUUCGAGCGGCCGACGUCUGAUUAGCUAGUAGGUGAGGUAAAGGCUCACCUAGGCGACGAUCAGUAGCGGGUCUGAGAGGAUGAUCCGCCACACUGGGACUGAGACACGGCCCAGACUCCUACGGGAGGCAGCAGUGGGGAAUUUUGGACAAUGGGCGAAAGCCUGAUCCAGCCAUGCCGCGUGUCUGAAGAAGGCCUUCGGGUUGUAAAGGACUUUUGUCGGGGAGGAAAUCCCCAGCGCUAAUACCGCUGGGGGAUGACAGUACCUGAAGAAUAAGCACCGGCUAACUACGUGCCAGCAGCCGCCGUAAGAC